UACAGAGGUCUCAAGCGGUGUUCGGAUUCAUUGGGCGUAAAGGGUGUGUAGGUGGCGCGCUAAGUCGGGUGUGAAAUUUCGGAGCUUAACUCCGAAACUGCAUUCGAUACUGCCGUGCUUGAGGACUGGAGAGGAGACUGGAAUUUACGGUGUAGCGGUGAAAUGCGUAGAUAUCGUAAGGAAGACCAGUGGCGAAGGCGGGUCUCUGGACAGUUCCUGACGCUGAGGCACGAAGGUCAGGGGAGCAAACGGG
rnacentral:rRNA from 1 species